rnacentral:rRNA from 1 species
GAUGAACGCUGGCGGCGUGCCUAAUACAUGCAAGUCGAGCGAAUGGAUUAAGAGCUUGCUCUUAUGAUGUUAGCGGCGGACGGGUGAGUAACACGUGGGUAACCUGCCCAUAAGACUGGGAUAACUCCGGGAAACCGGGGCUAAUACCGGAUAACAUUUUGAACCGCAUGGUUCGAAAUUGAAAGGCGGCUUCGGCUGUCACUUAUGGAUGGACCCGCGUCGCAUUAGCUAGUUGGUGAGGUAACGGCUCACCAAGGCAACGAUGCGUAGCCGACCUGAGAGGGUGAUCGGCCACACUGGGACGGAGACACGGCCCAGACUCCUACGGGAGGCAGCAGUAGGGAAUCUUCCGCAAUGGACGAAAGUCUGACGGAGCAACGCCGCGUGAGUGGUGAAGGCUUUCGGGUCGUAAAACUCUGUUGUUAGGGAAGAACAAGUGCUAGUUGAAUAAGCUGACACCUUGACGGUACCUAACCAGAAAGCCACGGCUAACUACGUGCCAGCCGCCGCCGUAA